rnacentral:rRNA from 1 species
UACGUAGGGGGCAAGCGUUGUCCGGAAUCAUUGGGCGUAAAGCGCUUUAAGGCGGUUCGGUAAGUCGGGUGUGAAACCUCCAGGCUCAACCUGGAGACGCCACUCGAUACUGCUGUGACUAGAGUUCGGUAGGGGAUCACGGAAUUCCUGGUGUAGCGGUGAAAUGCGUAGAUAUCGGGAGGAACACCUGUGGCGAAAGCGGCUCACUGGACCACAACUGACGCUGAUGCGCGAAAGCUAGGGGAGCAAACAGG